rnacentral:misc_RNA from 1 species
UUAAGUUCAGCGGGUAUCCCUACCUGAUCCGAGGUCAACCAUAGAUAAAAUUGGGGUUGCUGGCAAGCAUCCACAGGACCCUAUAGCGAGAGAAUUACUACGCUUAGAGCCAGAUGGCGCCGCCACUAUGUUUAAGGCACACCCUGACGGGUGGUACCCAAUACCAAGCAGAGCUUGAGGGUUGUAAUGACGCUCGAACA